GCCGGGCACAGUGAUACAGUGAUGCGUGCCUGUAGUCCCAGUUACUCAGGAGGCUGAGGCUGGAGGAUCGCUUGAGUCCAGGAGUUCUGCACUAUAGUGCGCUGUGCCGAUCGGGUGUCUACACUAAGUUCGGCAUCAAUAUGGUGGCUUCUCGGGAGCAGGGGACCACCAGGUUGCCUAAGGAGGGGUGAACUGGCCCAGGUCAGAAACAGAGUAGGUCAAAACUCUUGUGCUGAUCAGUAGUGGGAUCACACCUGUGAAUAGCCACUGCACUCCAGCCUGGGCAACAUAGCAAGACCCCGUCUCU
ensembl:misc_RNA Metazoa_SRP Metazoan signal recognition particle RNA